CAGAGUUCUGUGCAUCGGGUUGCCAUUGUUACAUCCUAAACAAGCAGCCCCAGAACAUAAAUUAAAUUUGGAUGAAUCUACCACAAGCUUGACCUCCAUUAAAACAUACUCAUUCCUCUUCAAUUCACCCAGCUAACACACUUACCUAAUACACUUGAGCUCAUCCCAACUAUAGCAUAUCAUUUCCGGUACAAGUCAUCAAAACCAAAACCAUGAGAUGAUAUUGAACGGUUUCAGAUAAAUGACCAUCUUUAUCUCAGAAAUCCACAAAAACAAAGGAAAAAAAAAUCUUAGUUCCAAUUAAAUCAAGUGAACCCUAGAAAGUAAAUACAAG
rnacentral:lncRNA from 1 species